rnacentral:lncRNA from 1 species
GCAGAGUCCUGCCAAUUUGCAGAGGAAUUAAAUUCAUGCCGAUAAGAAGAUUAAAGACUAUUUAGACUGCCAUCAUUUGUGUCCCUUGGAGAACUCGUAAGCAAUAUAUUCUACUGGCAAUACCUGCAAAAUUUGAAUACAAAUACGAGUAACAUCUUGUCUUCCUGAAGUAAUUUUUGCUACCUGUGCCUACAAACAAUAAGCAAAGCUCUAAGUAUCAGAAGGUAAAACAGACAUCGGGCUCAUAAAUAAGGAUGUCUCCUUCCAGUACGAAAAUGCCAGAUCUGAGAAGCCUGAAGUUUCAAAAAAUAAUUGAGAAGAUUUGUUCAGUCCAACAUUUCCUUCUAAAGUAAAAUAACUUUACAUUGCUGCCAUGCCAAAGCAAAACAGUGUGUCUGAAGAGAAACUAAAGAAAUGUAUCUGAGCUACAGAACUUUUAAUAGCUGCAAACACUUCUCACAUGGAGGGCACCACUGGUUAUUUGCCUAUUUACUAGAUUCACCAGUUUCAUCAUCCAGACAUUACAUAGUGACCUUGAUUUUCAAAGGGGAAAGCUUUCUUCUCUCUGCGGGGAUCUCAUGAGCACAGAUCUGAGCUAUUGGGAAACAAUACUAAGUUUUUGGAACAGGACACCGUAUAGGUCUUUGACGAAAUCCAGGGCUGGGCAGCAGCAUGGAUGCAACCAGCUUGUUUGGGAGUGGGAAGCCCCAGAUACUGAGAACGUGAACCAUUCUGAACCACGUGGCACAAGGCAAGGGGUGCCUCUGGAGUGAAUGCAUUCAGCGAUGGAGAUACAAAGAUUUACCACUUACUCAAGGUGAUCAAUGGCCAAACCCAUAACUGUGUUAGCAGCAACAAACUACAGCCAUCAGAACUUUUGCCUUGCCUCCUGGCUCCAGCAUGUACAUUUGCAUGCAUUGCUCCUAUCCAUAUUUCAUGUAUUGUUUUUUGUAUCUGAGGUAUCCAAACACAUUAGUGGGUAUCAUUCCACAGAAAUGUACAGAUAAGUCUAUAUACCUAGCUUUGGCUCCCCAUUCAGUGCAUGCACUGGGACCCAAACUGUAUUCAGAGUUUAAGUGAGCAAUACGACUUUGUACAGGCCUUCUCCACUGCAACUUCUAAAGAAAAAUAUCUGCAAUCCAAUGACUUGGAAGACCACAAGUCAGCUCUUUGGGUACAUUAUACCUCUUCAUAAUAAAACAGAUGCCUUGUUGACCUGGGAAAACA